UCAAACCUAAAAAAAAUUAUUCUUUCGCCUCUCGAUAUUAGUCUCUCCGAUACUGAAUCCCUAAAGAAAGGAAGACAAUCUGAUUUUUAAUCACCCAACCCAGUCCACGAUUCCCAGAGAAUUGGAACCAACAUAAGUGUGGGAAGAGGAGACUUUAAGCAAGAGAAGAAGGCAAAGGAAGAAGAUUCAGAAUUUACUCAAGCAUCGUAUAUAUACUAAGGCACGAUUUUAAGAUGAGAUUAAUUACAACUAAUCUUAUGACUUAAAGAGAGAGAGAGCAAUGGAGAUAUCGAAAUACAAGGCGAUCUUAGCGUUAGUGUUUUUGCAUUUUACGUCGGCUGAUUUCAUUGAAGGACUCAAUUCCACCGUCUUUGUUGUUUACCAUCAAGCCAGAGCCACUCAUUUCAUUUGCCCCAUCUCUUUCAUCUCCGGCCGCUUAGAAAAAAACAAAAAACAACCUUGUCUUGGAGUAAGAGGCUUUUGGUGGGUGGCUCUCAUGGCUGUUGUUGAAUCAAAACCCUCAUUUUAAAGGAAUUGAAAUCAUUUAAAAAAAAUAUGAUUUCUCAUAUUAAAUUAAAGUUUGGAAUAAUGUUGUU